AAUCUAGAUAGGUCUAUGAAAAUAAAAAGCUACAAAAGCUUGUGAUCCAGGAACUUCAGGACUCGGGUGUAACGGGAGACAAGGCUCAGCUUCAGGAAAUGCUAAUGAACAAGAUAAAAUCAAGUUCUCAAUUUGUUAUUGAUGACAAGCGUAUUCGGUUGGUGGAGAGGACUGAGCAAUCAUGAAUUACGAUUAUAUUUUGAUCAUCUCUUGUUAUAGGUCUUUCCACAAGAUAUUGUUAACUCAAUUUUUCUUAUGCUCACUAAUUGUAAUUGGUUUGAUUUCAUUCAAACCAGUUUUGUAAUUCACAUGCCAUUCUUCCAUUUAUUUUUUGUAAGAGAUCACAACCACUUGUAUUGUUGGUUGAGGACCACAACUACAUGACAUUCUUCAGUUUUGUGAUGUAAUGAAUGCAAAACAUUUUUGCAUGUAUCAA